AACUAUUUCCGCGAUUUUUUUAGUCGAUGUAGUACCCAGGAGUUUUGGGCAAAAACGGGGCAAAAAGGGAUGUGUGCUCCAGAACUCUCCAAUCCCUACUACUGGGCUGUAUGACACCCCCGAAGAGGGCAACUGGAGAUGGGCGGACAACACUCCUUUCAACUACACGAACUUCAAUUCAGGUGAGGGUGACUCGGCCUUGAACCUGGACUACGCAAACAACUGCGCCGUUCUACUCAAAGGCACAGGAAAAUGGAGGGCCACGCAAUGUCAUUCGUACAAUGUCAGGAUCUGUGUGCAGCCUCGUGGUGAGCAGUUGUGUCCAGAUGGAGGAACUUUUUCCGUGACCGAUGCUACUGGUCUUAUCAGUCUGGAAACUGGGACAAGGCUAACAGAGAUUGCGAAGAGCAGUUUGGGAAAGGUGUA